rnacentral:rRNA from 1 species
UACGAAGGGGACUAGCGUUGUUCGGAAUCACUGGGCGUAAAGCGCACGUAGGCGGAUAUGUCAGUCCGGGGUGAAAUCCCGGGGCUCAACCUCGGAACUGCCUUUGAUACAGCAUGUCUUGAGUCCGAUAGAGGUGGGUGGAAUUCCUAGUGUAGAGGUGAAAUUCGUAGAUAUUAGGAAGAACACCGGUGGCGAAGGCGGCCCACUGGAUCGGUACUGACGCUGAGGUGCGAAAGCGUGGGGAGCAAACAGG